UGCUGGCCAAGAGAGAACUUUAGACUUAGAGUCUACAACAGAUGGUGACCCUGAGGUGAAAGAAGGAAAGGGGUACUAUGGACCAACGUGGGCAAGGAGCCAACAUGGCCAAGAGGUGGUGCGACACGAGGACUGCAUGAUGCUGCAGAACGAUUAAGGGGCUCCAAGAAAACAAUCGCACCGGAUACAGUCUCUAUCUGACAAGAUUCCGGACCUCUGUGGAUCCCCUCUCGGGGUAAGGUGAAGCCUUACCAUGGUAUGGUGGAGACCUGUAGGAUAUCUUCCAAUGAAUCAAGACUUCCGGAGAAUGACUGAGUGAGCGGCCACCGCCCCUCUUUUUCAAGAUGGAGGAAGCCUCUUCACGGACUCCUCAUCCUGAAGCCAGUCCACAAAUGCAAGUCUUUGCCCCUCAUAUAACAUGGGGAAGCCUUAAAUGCCUGUCUAACCAGGCCGGCAUCCUCUUAUAACACAGUGAUGUUAUAUAUACACCCCUGAUUCACAUCUGAUGGUCAUGAUUUCUGUCAUUAACAAAAAUUCGAUUUGUGUAACCCUGAUUCUUCUCCUUGCCCUCAUUUGUCCAGGCCAAGCUCAAUAUUCAUAUUGGGCUCAUCUCCUUAAGCCAUCUAUAUUUGAUACCUUAACACUCCUAGCCUGAGAUAUUCCUAUUAGCAUUAAUGACAGAGUUCAUGGAAGGAGCCAGUCUUAACCCGCCCUUCCAAACGGAACAAAAACAUUAGCUUUAUAUGCCAAGACUGCAGUGAUGGCUUACUUCAGCGUCUCCUAUGUGUGUUACUAAGUUCAGCAAUUUAUCUGCUUGUCUUAAAAAUCAACAGGCUUUUGCAUAUAUAGCCCAAACCCUCUACAAGGCCAAUUUUACUUUUUUUCUCAGCCAUAAGCUUCGAUAU